rnacentral:rRNA from 1 species
AGUGAACGCUGGCGGUAGGCCUAACACAUGCAAGUCGAACGGCAGCACAGUAAGAGCUUGCUCUUACGGGUGGCGAGUGGCGGACGGGUGAGGAAUACAUCGGAAUCUACUUUUUCGUGGGGGAUAACGUAGGGAAACUUACGCUAAUACCGCAUACGACCUACGGGUGAAAGCAGGGGAUCUUCGGACCUUGCGCGAUUGAAUGAGCCGAUGUCGGAUUAGCUAGUUGGCGGGGUAAAGGCCCACCAAGGCGACGAUCCGUAGCUGGUCUGAGAGGAUGAUCAGCCACACUGGAACUGAGACAGGGUCCAGACACCGACGGGAGGCAGCAGUGGGGAAUAUUGGACAAUGGGCGAAAGCCGGAUCCAGCCAUACCGGGUGGAUGAAGAAGGCGUUAGGGUUGUAAAGCCAUGUUGUUGGGAAAGAAAAGCAGCAGGUUAAUACCCCGCUGUUCGGACGGUACCCAAAGAAUAAGCACCGGCUAACUUCGUG